GGUUCGGAUUAUGGCUCAGAUUGAACGCUGGCGGGAUGUUUUUUACAUGCAAGUCGAACGGCAGCACGGACUUCGGUCUGGUGGCGAGUGGCGAACGGGUGAGUAGCCGUAUCGGAACGUGCCUAGUAGCGGGGGAUAACUACGCGAAAGCGUAGCCAUACCGCACACGGCCUCGGGGGAAAGCGGGGGACCUUCGGGCCUCGCACUAUUAGAGCGGCCGAUGAGCUGAGAUUAGCUAGUUGGUGGGGUAACGGCUCACCAGCGAUGAUCCGUAGCUGGUUUGAGAGGACGACCAGCCACACUGACUGAGACAAGGCUCCAGACUCUACGGGAGGCAGCAGUGGGGAAUUUUGGACAAUGGGGGAAACCCUGAUCCAGCCAUCCCGCGUGUGCGAUGAAGGCUUUCGGUUGUAAAGCACUUUUGGCAGGAGAAACGGCACGGGAUAAUACCCCGUGCAACUGACGGUACCUGCAGAAUAAGCACCGGCUAACUACGUGCCAGCAGCCGCGGUAAUACGUAGGGUGCAAGCGUUAAUCGGAAUUACUGGGCGUAAAGCGUGCGCAGGCGGUUCGGAAAGAAAGAUGUGAAAUCCCAGAGCUUAACUUGAGUUGCAUUUUUAACUACCGAGCUGAGCGUAAGCCAGAGGGAGGUGGAAUUCCGCGUGUAGCAGUGAAUGCGUAGAUAUGCGAGGAACACCGAUGGCGAAGGCAGCCUCCUGGGAUAACACUGACGUUUGCCAUGCACGAAAGCGUGGGGAGCAAACAGGAUUAGAUACCCUGGUAGUCCACGCCCUAAACGAUGUCAUCUAGCUGCUGGGGCCUUCGGGCCUUUGCAGCGCAGCUAACGCGGUGAAGUUGACCGCCUGGGGAGUACGGUCGCAAGAUUAAAAACUCAAAGGAAUUGACGGGACUCCGCACAAGCGGUGGAUGAUGUGGAUUAAUUCGAUGCAACGCGAAAACCUUACCUACCCUUGACAUGUCUGAACUGGCAGAUUUGGGAGUGCUCGUAAGAGAACCGGAACACAGGUGCUGCAUGGCUGGAGCCGUCAGCUCGUGUCGAGAUGUUGCUGUCCCGCAACGAGCGCAACCCUUGUCAUUAGUUGCUACGAAAGGGCACUCUAUCGAGACUGCCGGUGACAAACCGAGGAAGGUGGGGAUGACGUCAAGUCCUCAUGGCCUCAGGUAGGGCCACACGCUGCGCACAAUUGUCGGGACAGAGGCUACCGCCGCCAACCCGCCGAGGGGAGCCAAUCCCAGAAACCCGAUCGUAGCCCGGAUCGCAGCUCGUGGGCAAACUCGACUGCGUGAAGCUGGAAUCGCUAGCAAUCGCGGAUCAGCAUAUGCCUGCGUGAAUACGUUCCCGGGUCUUGCACACUGCCCGUCACACCAUGGGAGUGGGCUUUACCAGAAGUAGUUAGCCUGUCCGUAAGGAGGGCGAUUACCACGGUAGGAUCUAUGACCGGGGGUGAAGUCGUAACAAGGU
rnacentral:rRNA from 1 species